CCUACGGGUGGCACCAGUGGGGAAUAUUGCACAACGGGCGCAAGCCUGAUGCAGCCAUGCCGCGUGUAUGAAGAAGGCCUUCGGGUUGUAAAGUACUUUCAGCGGGGAGGAAGGUGUUGUGGUUAAUAACCACAGCAAUUGACGUUACCCGCAGAAGAAGCACCGGCUAACUCCGUGCCAGCAGCCGCGGUAAUACGGAGGGUGCAAGCGUUAAUCGGAAUUACUGGGCGUAAAGCGCACGCAGGCGGUCUGUCAAGUCGGAUGUGGAAUCCCCGGGCUCAACCUGGGAACUGCAUUCGAAACUGGCAGGCUAGAGUCUUGUAGAGGGGGGUAGAAUUCCAUGUGUAGCGGUGAAAUGCGUAGAGAUGUGGAGGAAUACCGGUGGCGAAGGCGGCCCCCUGGACAAAGACUGACGCUCAGGUGCGAAAGCGUGGGGAGCAAACAGGAUUAGAUACCCGAGUAG
rnacentral:rRNA from 1 species